AGCGGAUCUCACCAUCUUGAACCCCGGGAAAGCUUGUAGUCGUCCAUUUAAUAGACAAAGCACCGAGUGUGUGGUUUCCUGCCAAUCAUACUGUUUUGAAUGUUUCUGGACGUAUAUUCGCGUACUGGUCGCAUUUUCUGUCAUCACAGUACAGCAAAGGGCGAAUGAACCAUCAUCUUGGGCGUCCAAAUAACAAUGGAGAACGCUGCAGAUACUGACCCGGACCCCAUAAAGCUGAAGUCGAUCAAGAACAACAGAACGUUCACAGUACCGCAAAAACACAGGUUUGGGAACUGUAGGAGUGUGAAAGAAUUUGAGAAACUGAACCGAAUCGGCGAGGGAACAUAUGGAAUUGUGUACAGAGCUCGAGACACCAGGUCGGAUGAUAUUGUAGCACUGAAGAAGGUCCGGAUGGACAAGGAAAAGGAUGGGAUCCCUAUCAGUAGUCUGAGAGAGAUUACCCUGUUGCUCAAACUCAGACACCCCAACAUAGUGGAGUUAAAGGAGGUGGUGGUGGGAAGUCACCUGGAGAGUCUCUUCCUAGUUAUGAGUUACUGUGAGCAGGACCUGGCCAGUCUGCUGGAAAACAUGCCAACACCGUUCUCAGAGGCACAGGUGAAGUGUAUAGCUCUGCAGCUGCUGAGAGGUCUGGAUUAUCUUCACCUCAACUUUAUUCUGCACAGGGAUCUGAAGGUGUCCAAUCUGCUGAUGACAGACAAAGGCUGUGUAAAGAUUGCUGACUUUGGCUUGGCUCGUUGCUACGGUAUCCCCCUACAGCCUAUGACGCCCCGGGUGGUGACAUUGUGGUAUAGAGCCCCAGAGCUCCUCCUAGGGACCAAGACUCAGACCACAGCCUUAGACAUGUGGGCGGUGGGCUGCAUCCUGGCUGAGCUGCUUGCACAUAAACCUCUGCUGCCAGGGGGUUCUGAGAUCCAACAAGUGGACCUCAUAGUGCAACUGUUGGGUACCCCUAAUGAAAACAUCUGGCCGACAGAAGAAUGCACGAUCAAGAAGGGAUACAUAGAGAGCAGUUGCUUCGCGAGGGCUUCACUCGUCUUCCCCUAGUUGGACAGUACAGUUUGAGGAAACAACCAUACAACAAUUUGAAGAAUAAGUUCACCUGGUUGUCUGAUGCAGGGCUGCGUUUACUCAACCUUCUCUUCAUGUACAAUCCUCUACGCAGGGCCACAGCUAAGGACUGCUUGGAGAGUUCCUACUUUAAGGAGAAACCUUUGCCUUGUGAGGCUGACCUGAUGCCAACCUUCCCUCAUCAUCGCAAUAAAAGGGCAGCCCCAGCUGUAGAGAGCCAAUCAAAACGCAAUAAAGUGUAACUUCAUUAACAUCCUUGAUCGCAGUUUAAAUAAAUGAAUGAAUAUCUUAAUGUUUACUACUACACAGAUUAUGCACCUGGUUGUAAAAAUGUGUUGUCAUAGAAUGCAUGUACCUGGCAGUAAUUAUCCAAAUCAAUGGGGUGAUGGUAAGCUUUCAAGUAUUCCACAGUUCAGUCCUCAGUUACUGCUUGCAAAAUCCUAUUUCUUUCACUGUGUCUGAUGAAUAUCCAAAAGUAUGUGAUUAACAUGCAUAAGUUCAAUUUAAUUCACCAAUGUUGCUUUUUUUUUUUAAAUGGAUGUUGGUUAACCUUUGGCAGGUUCACGUAACCAAUAGGAUUUGGUUUGCUGUAUGUACAUAGACAUUUUUUAUCCCAUGAAAUUCAAUGAAUAUUGUAGUUUUAGUUUUUAAUAAACUGCUUUUUCAAAUUA